GGCCAUCGUCCUGCCCAGCGAUGCUUCGGGGGCCAAGUCUCCCCUUGGGACACGGAGACUUUUAAAGGGCCAGGGCCCGGGUCUUGGCGGCGGCCGGGGCCUGCGGGGGAGGCGGCCCGCGCCCUCGCUGCCCUUUCGUCUCGUUUUACAGGUGGACGUCGGGUGCGGGCGGAGCCGUAAAGGGCUUUGCCUGCUUUGAAAUGAGAUUCUUGAGAGCUUUGAUCUGGUCCCCUCCAUCCUGCUGGUGGGGACACAGGCCAGGGGCGGCAGAGCUGGGUUCAAGUGCACCUCGACCCCGGGCCUCGGGUCACAGAUGGUCAGCUCCGGCCUCCUGGGCCAGCGCGGCUUCCCACGGUCUCGAAGUCAGAGCCAGCGCAGCUCCUCAGGCGGGGACCGAGUCUGGCACAAGGGUGCCCAGGGCUGGCUGCCACUUGCCUGCCAUGUUCUGGGAACAGCAAGAAUGUCCCCCGUGUUUCACUCAGGGCCGGGACCGGGUGGUCUCAGUUCAUCGGGACUCGGCUGCUCACCGGAGGGUGCAGUGAGGAGCUGGAAGAGCCCCGUGGAACCCCGGUCCAUGAGCUGUGUCCCCCUAGGGCCAGGGCCAGGCACAGAAGCCCUGUCACCGUGUGUAGGGCGGAGGUGCCCCUGCCCCUAGGAGCCAGGGACAGACAGCAGGGCCAUGGGGACCGGCACCCCGGGGCUCUGGUGCUCCCAGCUUUGGCUCAGCCAUCUUGAACGGGCGGCUCUGGCUCCCUGGUUGGUCCUGGUGGCACGUCUACGGUGCCGGCGGGAAGAGGGACAGGAAGCGGUGCCCACCUGCUUUCCUCUUGUCAAAAAGCCGUCCCAGGAUCCCACUGGCAGCGUGGCUUAACUUUCCUCGGCCGUGACAGGGUCCUGUGGCCACUCCAGCUGCGUGGGAGUCUGGCACAUGGGUGCCUGCGGCUGUCCCCACCGCUACACACAGGACAGAGGGCGCUGGGUCCCGGGCAGCCCGAGCGGUCCAGGGCCUCGGCUCGGCGGCUGAGGGGUCCCGUGUGUUUUCUUUCUUCUCCACUCUAGCGACAUCUGCGUGUGGACCUCUGUCCUGAGACUUGCUUGACCCCUCACGACUGGGAGGAGGUCCCUUCCCGGAACCAAGGCUCCGAGGUCCCCUUAAGCAAAGCGGCUCUGCCUCUGGGGAGAAGCCUGGGGGGGCGGGUCAGCGGGGCUCUGGGCAGCAGCGUCUCUGUCCCCCCGAAUGUCUCUCAACCUCGGCCACCUCGUUUCCACCCCUCCGGCCACGAGAAUGUGCCUGAUGGUUGGCCCCAGGCCUCCGAUUCUCUCGGACCUGGACUGGCUGCAGGCUGGGCGGCGCUGCCGACCGCUUCCUCUCCAGCGCGGACUGCUGGGCUGGCCUGGCCUGGCGGGCGCUCUGCUGGGUCCCACCAGCCCCUCGUCCCUCUCCUGGGACCUGCCAGCCAUCCCGGGCACCUGUCGAGAACGCGGUGGCAGAGUCCUGGAGCCAAGGGGGAGCCCCUGGCCUGCUGGCCAGCAGACGAUGAGGACCCUGGGUUUAACCCCCCCAUGAUCCUUGCUGCCCCCCAGGGCUGAGCUGGCCUCCUGGGGUGAAGGACUCGGCAGGAGCUUUCAUUGAUUCACACAGCCAGACGCUGGUGUUCACUCGGAGGCCGAGGAGCGUCCAGUACCAGAGACACACUGCGUCCCUGGGAGCUUGGGUUCAAUGGCAACAACAGUAAAAUCCAACACGUCAAGUAGCAGCAAAGAGCCAAGGAGAAACAUACCGGGGAAGGGGACGGUGACUGGGGAAGGGCCCCCGUGUGAAGUGGGGCUCACUUGGCCUGAGCAGAAGGCAUAGCAAUGAAGUGAGAGCAGCACAUACCAAGGUCCUGAGGCAGAAAGGCACUUGGAAGGGCCACAGGAAGAGCCUGGGUCCCACCCUGCAUGGGAGCCAUGGGGGUUUUGAGUGACACAAGGACAUGUCCUGACAGAUCCCUCUGCCUGUGUGCCUGUGGAUACCGGUGCACGGGGGCUGGGGUGGAACCAGGAAACUGGGUUUGCAGGCUUCGUGACACUUAGAUCACAGAGACAUUUAGGAGUUUGAGUGACGUUCUCAGAAAGCACAGGAAAACCAAACAGGAUUUUCAGGUUAACCAGAAUCGGCAAGAAGACGGAAGGUGCCUGGUGCCCCCUUCUCCGCAGUAUCUGAGGCUGCGAUGCCGUGGGCUGUGUCACCUGAGGUCCCCCUCAUGCCCGCUGCCUGCUGCCUGGGGCGCACUGCAGAGGGUGGGAGCCUCAGCACCUUGGCAAGGAGCAAGGUGCGGGACGAGCCUGCCCAGGUCCCAGCAAGGACACAGAAGACCUUGAACCUGACGCUCUUAGCUUUGCCAAAACAGAGCUGUCCCCACACGCCACCCCCAGCGCCAAACCCAACUCAUCUCACUGCUUGAUCCCCAGAGGAUGGCAGGGCAUGUUUUUGUCUGUGGUUUGGGUUCCCAAAACCUGUGACCUCAGAUAAGUGUGACUGACGUUCUCCAAAACAAACAGCAACGCACAGAGGGGCAGAGAGGGGACAACGGAAAGAAGGGGUUGGUUCACCGCCUCAAGGCCUCUCUUGGGGAGGGGCCUGGUCCUGGUGUCUCCCUGCACCCCCCAGGGGCCCCCACCUCCUCCCGGGGCCCCCCCAGGGGCUCACAGCUCUGUCCUUGACACUUGCUUCUCAGAGCCUUAAAUUCUGCAAAAUAGACACCUUAAUCUCCACCCACUGGGGCUGAUUAAAAAAAAAAAAAAGAAGAACAAAGUGGUAAUUAAAAUACGACACUAACAGCUCGCUAGACCGCUGUGUCCCAUUCAUUCUCUUGGUGGAUUUUCACACCAGCCUGGGAGUCACUGUCACACAGAGCAGCUGUGAAGACUGUCUUUGGAGCUGGGACAGCAGAGGCUCUGAGUAGGGACAAAGGCGGUUUACAAAGUGCUACAAGUCACCUCUGGUUUUUAGGAAAUGUAAACAUGC
rnacentral:lncRNA from 1 species